AGCCAGAGGGAAGCAUCUCUACUUGGAAGUUGCCUCCUUUGGGAAUUUUUUAGUGAGAUGUUAUCCUCAGAAUGGGACAGGAGUAGACCAGAUAGAGAGCAGAACAACGUCGAAGGCUGCACUGAAGACUGACCAAGUCCUAGCAGGAAUGAACUAAGAGAGUACAUGAAGUGCUGAGUGACCUGAAUGAAAGACACAGAUGGCUGACCCAACAGUGCAUAUGUUGCAAAUAAUUUGGGCUUCCCUGCUUAAGGCUCAAAUUAAGGGAAGUAGUAUAUGACUGAAGUCCCAAGUUGGAACGAUGAAUAAUCUACUCCCUGCCCCUGAGAAUCUAGAACCAGGAACCCACAAGGUAAAAUGGUCUUGAAAAAAGCCCAAGUGGGGGCAAAAUGGUGCAGCCUACUUGCACCAUAAGGGCAAUUAUUAGAAGGGGGAGGAAUGGUCAUACCACAAGGAAUUUGCAUGUGGUCCUCAGAAAUUGUGAAACACAGAUUCUCAUCACAAAGGCGACCCUAAUUAUAUCAUUUUGGCAGAUCAGAGCCCCCUCCAUCCCCUGUUUAGUACUUGGUAUAAUUAUCCAACUGUCAAUUAACGCCAAAGAGCGUGGUAUAAAAGGCUUGGAUGUGCCCCUGUCCAAAUGGAAAUCUUGACACACAACAGGAAAAUGGCAUGCAUUUCACUGUGGAGGGUGGAUCUGCCUAUUUUAGUGUCAAACACCUGUUCUACUCCCCCUGAGAUUCUCAACCUGUCAGGAUGACCAAAGGAGACAGAAGCAGCAUUGGGUUUCAGUGCCACUGAAGAAUUAUCAAGACAUCUCGUUUAUCAAAGACACUUAAUGACAAAUUUCUGAAUUUUUGAAGGAAGCUGUACAGGACAUUGAAAACUAGGGACUCUGUGUUGUGAUGAAAACUGCAUCAACAUUGUGACUACAAUUAUGAACUUAUAAAGGAAAGCUUGUCCUCUCUAUGCUCAGUCAAUUGUCCAAGCUGUGAAGGGGUGGAGUAUAAGGGAACUAAUGGUUGUGGCCUGAACACCUGCUUCUGAUGGAGCACCUGAUGAAGGGGAGUGGGUAGCCUUGGGAGCACAGGUGCAAGCAAUUGCCUGUGCAAUCCUAACAUCAUUUAAGGGUUCUCAGCCAAGGGAGGAGCAUCUUUACUUGAUGAUUGUUUCCUUUGGAAGUUUUUCAAUGAGCUCUUCUCCUCGGAAAUGGAUGUGAAGUUGAAGAGACCACCAAGAUCAUCUAGUCCACCUGUGAUGACAAACCUAGUUGAAAAAAGUAUGCUUUUAAACAAUUUCUGGCUUAAGAUGUUGUGUGACUGCUUUGAAUGGGCAAGGAUCCCAUCCAGUAAGAGCAGUAGCCAUUGGCUUUUUGUGGGGGUUUAAGAGCCGGGAUUGUAUUUGCUUAAUAUCUUGGUUGCAUUGCUAGUAGCUGCCACUGGAGCUGGGAGGAGCUGUUGAGCUUUCUUGAGUCCUCUCAUCUCCAGAGCAAGCUGCAGACACCCUGCUCUUCCCAGCUCCUUUUUUCUGGGCAGGCCCUUUGGCAGCAGCACCUCCAGGUCUGCCUCACUCCUGGCACUGCCUUCUCUCUUCUCAGCCAGACCAGUCCCAGUAAACAGAAAGUCAGGGAAUGUGUGGUGAGGACUGGCUACCAAGCAAAGUGGGUUAUUGCAAGCUCUGUUGCAGAAGUAAGCUCUGGAGGGAGGGAAGUGCUCCAGAAAGGAAUACAGGGAUGUGAAUAGUGGCCCCUCUUCAGGUGAGAGCUGAUGGGAGGGCCUUUGAUAUUCAUGAAAUCCUGGAUUGAAGAAACCAGUCUAGAAAACUGCUUAAGAUAGGCUUGUAGGGAUGAGCGUAAAGACACUGAGGAUCUGGAGGGGCUUGUGCACUACAGAGCCUGAAGCUGAUAAGCAGAGCUUUGAACAGAGAAAGGGGAAAGCUGUAACUGAGAUGAAAGAGGCAUUUUUAAAUAAAAGAAAACAACUUGUCAAGUAACCAGACAGUUAAGGGAGUGAAAUACUUGCCUCUGAUAGGGUUUUUCUUAGUUCAGAGACAGGAGAAGCCUAUGUCAGCAGCGAGCAUUGAACAAAUGGAAUGAGGAACAGGCAAAGCAUCAGUCAUCUUUAUUAACUGAUACUGAAUGUCCACAGUCCUUAACUAGCCCCAGCUAUACUUGCUGCUAGGUUAACAUAAACACUAAUCUACCAUCAUUUGAGCAUAAUAUGUUAAUAGGGCUGCUUUUCCUUCCCUGAUGGGAAGUCUGACAGGAAUAGGCAGGUGCAUGGGGACCAGAGGAGAGGCUCCCACUGAGGUAUCAGAGCAGCAGGAAAGCCAGAAAGACCCCUUCACGCAUGCCACUUAUUUUGCUGGAUGUUGCCUCCUUCUGGCUGCACAAAGUGCAACAAGAGAAAUGGAGCCCCAGGAAUGGGGAGUGGAUGUGUUUGUGUCUCCUUAACUGUGUGCAUGUCUUCAUUUGCUCAACACUUAAAUCAGUUACAAGACACUUGUUGACUGGCAAUAAAUAUUUCUCAGCUGAUAGCUAGGUCACCUGCUGCAGAAAGAUGUGAGAUGAUUCUAAGAAGCCUUUCUGAGGCAUCUACUGCUACCAUGCUCAUCUUGAUACGGGCUGGUUUAGCUGGCUAAAUCACUAUACUCCAAUUCAUAAGUAAAAAAACACAGGAUAAUAAGUUUUCAUGGAAUUCAGGAGUUCAGAUUUCUUUUGUUUGUUAGCAACAAGUCUUAGCAUAUGCAGAUUUUUCCCAUAGUAAGCACUUUGCUGUUCUGAUAGACAUUGAUUACUUCAAAAGAGAGCCUAGAUUUGCACUCCAGAAUGGUUUGGUUUUGUGGUUUCUUCUUUUCCUUCCUGUUUUAUUAUAGUUGGAGAGACAAAAGAAACAUUAUUCUGUUAAAAGUGGGCUUUGUUCUUGUAGGAUAAUCACUUCCUUAAAUUUAUUACUUUCUAGACAGGUAUUUUUUCCAAAGAAAUUUACUUUUUUUCUUUUAUAUCCUGUGUGCCACUUCAUUCUUUCCCAACACUUGUUUUUAUAGAAUUGUUUGAGUUGCAAGGAGCCUUUAAACAUAAUCCAGUCCAACUCACCUGCAAUGAACAGGCACACCUACAGCUUGACCAGGAUGCUCAGAGCUCUGUCCAGUCUGACCUUAAUUAAUCCUGUGGAUGGGACAUCACCUCUCUGGGCAACCUGUUCCAAUGCUUCAUUGGUUUUGCAACGUUCAGAUGAUCCAGAAACAGGAUUUUUGUUUUAAAUUAAAAAGUGAAAUUUCAUAGCAUAGAUAAUAAACUACUGUAAGAAAGUAAUAAAAGAGCCUUUAAUGUAAAAUUCAGAUUUGUAUGCCUAAGGGGAAAAUAUUCUAUAACAUUUUCAAGAGCUCUUAAAAGCAGAAGAGAAUGUGUUUCAUUCAAUUGGCAGAUACGACUCUUGCCCUCAAUGGUCAUUUCCUAAAUGUCGCUGAGAUCUCAAGGGGCCUGAGUUGAAUAGUUGUUCUUGAACUUUUACCCUGAAACUCUUGAGUAAGGUUGAGCUGACAUAUAUAAUCCCACAAGAAGCCAAUGGAACAGCUGAAAAAAAAAAAAAAAGGAAAUGGAAUUUAUGGGCUUAUGCAAUUAAACAUAAUAUAAGCUGCUUUGUCUUUUCCUUGAGUUCCUGUCUUCGGUUAAAACACUGUUUUGCUCUGCUAUAAGCUCCAGCCUGUACAGCUGUGAUGCAAAGAAAAGGAAAGAAGAAAUGCAACUGUGAAAGUAAGCUAGACAGUCUGAAGGAUACAGCUUUAUGAGGGUUUAUAUUAGUUUUCUUCGUGUCAGAAUAAAAACUGAGAAGACAAUACCUCUUGUGCAAGAGGAUAUUGUUCUACAGAAGCUGGUUAAAUGGAUCACUUUGUGUUUGAUCAUUUUUAGCAAAAACCCAGGGAGCUUCGAAACAGAGUUGAACUUGCAGGAGAAUCUAUAGCUUUUUACA